GCUUCCAGUUGUGAUCUCUUGUUGCUGUGUCACAUCUCCUUAACAUCCUGUUCCUAUGCACCUUGUAUACUCACCUAAUUGUGGCUGCAGGGGUCGAUUCACAGCUCCUGGCCCCGCAUUUUCGCUGGUGUGUGUGUGUGUGUUGGUGGACCACCAACAGCAACAGCCUGCUUGAACAGGCAGUCAACAGAAAAACCUGAGCCCAGAACAGGUGGAGGAAGCAAAAUUUCUAGAAGGUGAUGGCAGGCAGAUGACAAGUGCAAUUAAACUAGACAGAAAGCUUGUGUGUACAAAGGAGGAUAUUUUAUACUGAGCAGAUGUAAAACUCAACACAUAACUGAGUUACAGGACAUUAACUUCUACACUAACAUCGCCUCAGAGGAUACGACUUAUCAGUUCAGUGGGUUCCUGCACACUGUGGAAUCACACAGUGAAGCAGAUGAUGACGUACAAUAAGACUCUUGCAGCCAGGAGUGGUCCUAGUAGCUACCAGCGAAGAGGCGGGGCCCAGGAGCUGUGACUCGACCCCUGCAAGCAAGGCGGGACCCGCCUACCUGUGACAGUGCCUUCAGCUGCUGCAUCUCCUCCGACUCCAGUAUAUAAGCGUCCAUCUUUCUGCUUAUGCUUCAGCUUCAUCAAGACUAAGAUACAAGAUGCUGGUUGUAGGCUCAUCCCAAAAGCCACGUGUGCAAGGCACUCUAAGAGGAUCUACUGAUGCAAAUCUACAGUACUGUGGAUAAGUCACUGUACCGAUAUCAACAACAGCUGCAGCAGCACAAAUGAGAAAUGUAAAUCACAAGACUGUGCUUGGAUUUGAAUAUCAUUCAGACAGUUAAAAAUAUUUGUCUUUCAGAUCUAUUAAUGACAUCAGAAUAUUUCUUUACUGUUUUAUAUCAUGUAAAAUAACUUGAGCAUCUGUUUAUAAAGGUAAUAUAAUAGCACGAUAUAUUUGUUUAGUGUUCCUUAUCCAGACUACACACAUCUUUAUACAUCAUUUCAGUUUAUGCAUCAUAUUCAGUAGUUUAAUGAUAAAUUCCAGUGUGUUUGCCACUAAGGUGAGACACGGAGAACCCCUUGCACAAGGUUGGUUCUAGAGUAAAGACAAGCUACUAUGAUCCACACUGACAAAUUAAAAAUACAGUUGGAUUACAGCUGCGCAGAAAAUACAAUAGACCAAACCUUGUGAGAAAUUUGAAUACGAAAGCUAUGCAUGAACCAGUGAGAAAUAACAUGGAAAACACCUGGUGCUACAAGCCUUUAAACAUCUGUUAUACUCACCAUUUCCUACAGGAGGUUGUGGGAGGGGAGAGAGAUGAAAUAUUUAAAUUCAUCAUCAUAAAAUAUUUCCAUUUAUAUUUGCUAACAUGGCAGUGAAUCAGCUCAUUUACAUAAUACUGUUUCAAACAUGUUUCUAGCAAUUAUCCUUCAGAAUUUAUACUCCUACCAUUUUUAUGGGGUAGAUUAAAAGACUAAGACUUCAACAUACAUGCACUGCACACAAUCAACAUCAGUGUAGUUUAACUAUAGUGACUUCCAGUGGUACAGAGUAGCACACACAUCUUUAAUAGUGAUUCCACUGCUCAUUGCAGUUUCUUCCAGUGGUACAAGGUAACACAAAACAAGUCUUCCAUAGUGUACCAUUUGGUACACUACCAUCAUCUAUGCACUUUGCUCACACCCAUAGCAGUCAUCCAUUCUCUUAAUCUACCUGAAGUGUUAAGAAAUUUAUUAGGAUCAUGGAAUACAAUAUUUUAUGAACAUCAGAUAAGAAAAUAUUCUAAGAACAGUGACCAGAACUAUGGGCCAUCACUAUCCUAGUCAGUUAUUCCUGCCCAGUAUAAAUUCAUUAAACUCACAUAUGUGCUGAUGAUCUGGUUUAUCUUUACAGCUGAUAGCAAGGCUUACAUGUCUUCAAUCUCCUGAACUGUUCUUACAGAAUAUAGUUAAUCAGUGUAGAGAGUACUUGAGACUGAUCUGGUAACUUCAUUCAUACAAUGCCAUUAUCAUACCAACUAGGCUGCAGGGAGUACAAAAUCUUCAGUACAUUCAAUGACCUAAUGAGUACAGAAGUGGUCUUACUCGAGUGACGUUUCCAGAAUAGACACCAAUACUCCUCAAACAAUUUUUACAUUCACAAUAUUGUGAACCUAUUCUUUCAUGCAAAUUAUUUUUAAUAAAUAUACAGAUAACUUAUUUCCUAACUCAUAACUUUGUAUUCCUAAACAUUUGUAAAUACAAGCAUACACGUACACACACACACACCAUAUUAAAGAAAUUCAAACAAUAUCUGCAAAACUGAAUAGCAUCAAUGUUUCACUUUCAUGUAGAUAUACUGCACUGUAGUACCCCCUUCAAAUUAUAUACACACUGUCUCAUGAUGGAGAGACUAAGAGAAUACAGAAUGAGGUUUGUGAUAAGUGAAUAAAGCCAAGCCCUAAUAUGAAAAUAUGCCUCUUUAUCUACUAUAGCAACUGUUCAAGAGACCUAUGAUCAUCCUCCCUGUGGCCAAGUCUGUACUAAACCUUCCGAAUUACAAAGGAAAUAUUGCAGGAAUUAGAACAAUUAAAAACACACAGAAAAGUUAAGAACAGAAUGUACUGAAUUGAAGUAGAGGUUUGCAAGAUUUCCGUAUUAUCUUGCAAGUUCAUGCCAGAAGGACCAGCAAUCCUGUUAUUACAAAAUAUUUAACAGGCCUCUGUUUUGUUUUUAACACCACCUCCCUGUAAUAUAAAGUUGGUAGAAUUACCGACAAUAUGUAAAGUAAAAGAACACAAGUGCAACUAAUGUGACAUUUUAUUGUAAUGGCUUGAUAAAGCUCCUGGAGAGCAAAACGUUGCCACAAUAAAAUGUCACAUUAGUUGCACUUGUGUCCUUUUACUUCACACCACCUCCCUGGAAACUUGUUGUCAACCAACACAAACAUUUUCAAUACUACCUCGCUGGAUGCUUGCUGUCAACCACUUUACAUAAACAUUACACUAAAAUGUGUGACUACAUAAACAUUACACUAAAACGUGUGAACCACCUAACUUGUAAAAAGUUAAGACCAUGGUCCUGGCUUACCAUCCAAUAUUUAACCCUUAAAUGGUCCAAACGUAUAUAUACGUUUUUUCAACAUCUGAAUGUAUGUAAAAAAAUGUAGAUCUUCUUUUUUGUUUUACAUGUGAAAACGUGUAAAAAAAACUUUUAUCUACAUUUUUUUUGUUAUAUUUGAAAAUAUGUAAAAAAAAGUAGAUCUACUUUCGUAGCUACGAAUUUGAACGUCGAUCUGUUUGGACCGUUUAAGGGUUAAUGAAGCAUUUCCACAAAAACUUAUGCAGUCGUCCACAAGUUGCAUCAAGGCCUGAAGACCCUCUGUCUCCUAGCUUGUUACUCACUCACCAAAUGUUUACUGUUGCAAACAGCUUAUGUUUUUUGUAGCUUUUCCUUAAAUAAAAGUCAAUCUUCAGUGAAGAUAUGACUAAUUCUAAAUUGAAUUUGUUUUCUAAAUCUUUCCUUGUAUCUUUUAUGCAUUUAAAUACAUAUAAUAUAGCAGAUAAAAAAACACAUUUUAAAGAUAAUUAUCAAAGAAUUAAAAAUAUAUACUUAAGAAAAUCUUAACAUACAAUUAGAACUGUUUUAAAUAUAACUCCAAUAUUUUGUAUGAAACAGUAAAGGCUAUGUAAUCUGGGAUGUUUCCCAUUAUUUAUAUAUCAAAUCUCCAUGCCAUCAACUAGACAACCACAAAUAACACAGACACAAUAUAGAAAACACUCCAAGAACCAAUUCUUCAGUAGCAGCGACUGAUAACAUCACCAUUGUGGGAAAAGACACUUACAGACAGUUCAAGACGUUUAUUACAGGAAAUGUUUUGCCAUGAGUAGCUUCUUCAGUCUUGAAGACAUGGCAAAACAUUUCCUUUAAUAAAUGUCCUAAACUGUACAUAAGUGCCUUUUUCCACAUCUUGUUGGUAUCACCAGACCAUUUUUCAGAUAUCACUAUUCUCACAGUGACCACUUGAACCAAAUUUUCCUCUUUACCUGCUUGACUAUAUGUGCAAAUAUAAAAAAACAAAAUAUAAUAUGCCAGGUCCUAGUAAUAAUCAGAGGGACCCAUGCACAAGCUACAAAAUCUUGAAAAGAAAUAUAAAAAUGGAGGAGCACUGCAGCAGGACUACUGGCCCAUACUAGGUAAGUCCUUUUCAAAUCCAACCAUUCUCACCCACAUGCUAAUCCCACAAGAAGUAACAAUACAUAUCAUAAGAUAUUUAUCAUCAAUUAUUAAGAGAGGAAUAAAGAUGCAAUAAAAAGCAUGAACAGUAUAUAUUAUCAGCUAUAUUAGUAGCAGCAUUUGUCACAUUCCUUUUAUGCCAUAAAAAUUAUCAUGAAUGUACAAAAGGACACAUAAUAUAGCAUAACUUGGGUCUUGGGCUGGGGAUUAGUUAUGUGAUCUACAACAUAACAGCUCCUUUUACCAUAAAUAUGAUUAAUUUUUACAUAUUUUACAUGUUCAAUAUGAUUUUGAAAGUGAAACUGAAUUUGAACUAAUUGACUAGAUCUAUUCCUUAAUACAGGCACAAUCUUAGGCAUAUUUAAGCAAUAUAAUGUGCUAUUAUUACUAAACAUUGAUGUACCCUUGUUUAAUUAAUAUUUAAACUUUAAUUAACCUCACACUUGACAAAG